rnacentral:rRNA from 1 species
AAAUUGAAGAGUUUGAUCAUGGCUCAGAUUGAACGCUGGCGGCAGGCCUAACACAUGCAAGUCGAACGGUAACAGGAAUCAGCUUGCUGAUUUGCUGACGAGUGGCGGACGGGUGAGUAAUGUCUGGGAAACUGCCUGAUGGAGGGGGAUAACUACUGGAAACGGUAGCUAAUACCGCAUAAUGUCGCAAGACCAAAGAGGGGGACCUUCGGGCCUCUUGCCAUCGGAUGUGCCCAGAUGGGAUUAGCUAGUAGGUGGGGUAACGGCUCACCUAGGCGACGAUCCCUAGCUGGUCUGAGAGGAUGACCAGCCACACUGGAACUGAGACACGGUCCAGACUCCUACGGGAGGCAGCAGUGGGGAAUAUUGCACAAUGGGCGCAAGCCUGAUGCAGCCAUGCCGCGUGUAUGAAGAAGGCCUUCGGGUUGUAAAGUACUUUCAGCGGGGAGGAAGGGAGUAAAGUUAAUACCUUUACUCAUUGACGUUACCCGCAGAAGAAGCACCGGCUAACUCCGUGCCAGCAGCCGCGGUAAUACGGAGGGUGCAAGCGUUAAUCGGAAUUACUGGGCGUAAAGCGCACGCAGGCGGUUUGUUAAGUCAGAUGUGAAAUCCCCGGGCUCAACCUGGGAACUGCAUCUGAUACUGGCAAGCUUGAGUCUCGUAGAGGGGGUAGAAUUCCAGGUGUAGCGGUGAAAUGCGUAGAGAUCUGGAGGAAUACCGGUGGCGAAGGCGGCCCCCUGGACGAAGACUGACGCUCAGGUGCGAAAGCGUGGGGAGCAAACAGGAUUAGAUACUCUGGUAGUCCACGCCGUAAACGAUGUCGACUUGGAGGUUGUGCCCUUGAGGCGUGGCUUCCGGAGCUAACGCGUUAAGUCGACCGCCUGGGGAGUACGUACCGCAAGGUUAAAACUCAAAUGAAUUGACGGGGGCCCGCACAAGCGGUGGAGCAUGUGGUUUAAUUCGAUGCAACGCGAAGAACCUUACCUGGUCUUGACAUCCACAGAACCUUGUAGAGAUACGAGGGUGCCUUCGGGAACUGUGAGACAGGUGCUGCAUGGCUGUCGUCAGCUCGUGUUGUGAAAUGUUGGGUUAAGUCCCGCAACGAGCGCAACCCUUAUCCUUUGUUGCCAGCGGUCCGUACGGGAACUCAAAGGAGACUGCCAGUGAUAAACUGGAGGAAGGUGGGGAUGACGUCAAGUCAUCAUGGCCCUUACGACCAGGGCUACACACGUGCUACAAUGGCGCAUACAAAGAGAAGCGACCUCGCGAGAGCAAGCGGACCUCAUAAAGUGCGUCGUAGUCCGGAUUGGAGUCUGCAACUCGACUCCAUGAAGUCGGAAUCGCUAGUAAUCGUGGAUCAGAAUGCCACGGUGAAUACGUUCCCGGGCCUUGUACACACCGCCCGUCACACCAUGGGAGUGGGUUGCAAAAGAAGUAGGUAGCUUAACCUUCGGGAGGGCGCUUACCACUUUGUGAUUCAUGACUGGGGUGAAGUCGUAACAAGGUAACCGUAGGGGAACCUGCGGUUGGAUCACCUCCUUA